rnacentral:rRNA from 1 species
UGCGCAGGCGGUUCGUUAAGACAGAUGUGAAAUCCCCGGGCUUAACCUGGGAACUGCAUUAGUGACUGGCGGGCUGGAGUAUGGCAGAGGGGGGUAGAAUUCCACGUGUAGCAGUGAAAUGCGUAGAGAUGUGGAGGAAUACCGAUGGCGAAGGCAGCCCCCUGGGCCAAUACUGACGCUCAUGCACGAAAGCGUGGGGAGCAAACAGGAUUAGAUACCCUGGUAGUCCACGCCCUAAACGAUGUCAACUGGUUGUCGGGCCUUCAUUGGCUUGGUAACGUAGCUAACGCGUGAAGUUGACCGCCUGGGGAGUACAGUCGCAAGAUUAAA